rnacentral:rRNA from 1 species
CCUACGGGCGGCAGCAGUGGGGAAUAUUGCACAAUGGGGGAAACCCUGAUGCAGCGACGCCGCGUGAGUGAAGAAGUAUUUCGGUAUGUAAAGCUCUAUCAGCAGGGAAGAAAAUGACAGUACCUGACCAAGAAGCCCCGGCUAACUACGUGCCAGCAGCCGCGGUAAUAUGUAGGGGGCAAGCGUUAUCCGGAUUUACUGGGUGUAAAGGGAGCGUAGACGGGUAGGUAAGUCUGGAGUGAAAGCCCGGGGCCCAACCCCGGGACUGCUUUGGAAACUGUGGAACUGGAGUACAGGAGGGGCAGGCGGAAUUACGGGUGUAGCGGUGAAAUGCGGAGAUAGCAGGAGGAACAGCGGCGGCGAAGGCGGCCUGCUGGACUGAAACUGACGUUGAGGUUCGAAAGCGUGGGGAGCAAACAGGAUUAGAGACCCUGGUAGUC